AGUGAACGCUGGCGGUAUGCCUAACACAUGCAAGUCGAACGGCAGCACAGUAAGAGCUCGCUCUUACGGGUGGCGACUGACGGACGGGUGAGGAGUACAUCGGAUUCUACUAUUUCGUGGGGGAUAACGUAGGGACACUUACGCUACUACAUCAUACGUCGUACGGGUGAAAUCAGAGGAGCUUGGCACUCUGCGUGACUCUAUGAGCCGACGUCGGAUUAGCUAGUUGGCAAGGUAACGGCCUACCAAGGCGACGAUGCGUAGCUGGUCUGAGAGGAUGAUCAGCCACACUGGAACUGAGACACGGUCCAGACUCCUACGGGAGGCAGCAGCGGGGAAUAUUGGACAAUGGGCGCAAGCCUGACCGAGCAACACCGCGUGGGUGAAGAAGGCCUUCGGAUUGUAAAGCCCUUUUGUUGGGAAAGAACAGCAGCAGGUUAAUACCCCGCUGUUCUGACGGUACCCAAAGAAUAAGCACCGGCUAACUUCGUG
rnacentral:rRNA from 1 species